CCUGAGAAACCCAAAAGAUCGAAAGAGGAGAUUCAACGUCAGCAUGUGCAGUAUUCACGUGAGUAGUGAUGUGAGUUGUUCAAUGAGGUUUUUAAUUUUGUUGACGCUCGCACAUUUUCAUGUUUUUUUAUUGCUGUACUAUUGUCGGCGUGCACUUCUCCUCUAGUAGAACGUCCCGACCUGUUGAGUCUCAGCCUACGGCCCAGAUGGUAGCCUUUGAUACAUUUAUUUGUAUUGAAGACCUCUGGUGUUUCCUGGUCUGAGUGCCCGACGGUAUAAAACAAUUACGGUAUUGAGCCGCAUCUUUGAGUGCGUCUAGCCUGUUGCAAGCUUGGUUAGAUUGUCACUACGUAGGCUUUGUUUCUAUGUAUGCGAUCUGAUCAGCUGUUAGCCAACAGUGUUCUUAGACUGGCCUAUCGAUA
rnacentral:rRNA from 1 species